rnacentral:rRNA from 1 species
UACGGGGGGGGCAAGCGUUGUUCGGAAUUACUGGGCGUAAAGGGCGCGUAGGCGGUUCGCUAAGUUGAAUGUGAAAACUCUGGGCUUAACCCAGAGCCUGCAUUCAAUACUGGCGGGCUAGAGUUCUGGAGGGGAUAGCGGAAUUCCUGGUGUAGCGGUGAAAUGCGUAGAUAUCGGGAAGAACACCAGUGGCGAAGGCGGCCGGCUGGGGGCGCCCUGACGCUGAGGCGCGAGAGCGUGGGGAGCGAACCGG